AGAAGCUAGGUUUGUUCCUUGCUUAGAGGGUAGGAAACUGGCGUGAAUCAUCAGAGGGGCAGUUUCACAUAAGGAUUCCACCAACAGGACGAACAAGAGGGAAACAAAGGCAAGAGGAAGAAGGGACUUGCUCCAUUCUAAUCAGCCUUAUUGCACCCCUCAGAGAUCACAGCAGCAGUCAGUGCUCUCCUCAGAGAUCUGAAUUCUACUUUCAUGCGGCCCCUCCCCUGAGCUCCUGAGAUAGCCAAUGUUUGAGCCACCUCCUCAGAAGUUUGAGCCUCAACACCGUGGGAUCCCUUCUUUGUGCUCCAGAGAUCCAGUAACAGCCAGCCAUCACCCUCUCUUCAUUCUUCAUAGGCCUGAACUAAGGUGUUCAGGGCCCUCCUUCAAGCUUUUAGGUUCUGAUGACUCCAACCACUUCUUUUGUUCCAUCCUUUCCUAGCUCUAGGAAUGGUAGCUGCUACCUGCAGUGAUUACCUGUUACCUUUUAUAAUUCCUUUUGACCAAUUUCCCAUAUUAAAAUAUUUCUCAAUAACUAAUGUGAUUUCUGUUUUCCUGACUGGACCCUGAUUUUAAAAUGCACACAAAAGCCAGGUGCAGUGGCUUAUGCCUGUAAUCCCACCACUGUGGGAGGCCGAGGCAGGUGGAUCACCUGAAGUCAGGAGUUCGAGACCAGCCUGGCCAACAUGGCAAAAACCCAUCGCUACUAAAAAUACGAAAAUUAGCUGGGCAGUGGUGGCAGGUGCCUGCAAUCCCAGCUACUUGGAAGGCUGAGGCACGAGAAUCUCUUGAACCCGGGAGGCGAAGGUUGCAGUAAGCCAAGAUCAUGCCACUG
rnacentral:lncRNA from 1 species